rnacentral:lncRNA from 1 species
UACUAAUCUCUAAGAUCAAAAUGAUACCAUCUUCUAUUGUUCUACUCAUUUUAUUUGUAAAUAAAGAAGUAGAAAUUCUAGUAGAGUACAAAGAUAUUUCAAGACAAUGCAAUGAUUGUUUAGAAUUAGAACAUGAAACCACAACAUGCAUCUAUUUGUCUUACACUUAUCCACAUAAACCAAAAAAGAAAUUUAAAAUCUAUUGUUUAUCACAAGACAUAACAAA